rnacentral:rRNA from 1 species
ACGCUCGACACCUACGGGAGGCAGCAGUGGGGAAUAUUGCACAAUGGGGGAAACCCUGAUGCAGCGACGCCGCGUGGAGGAAGAAGGUCUUCGGAUUGUAAACUCCUGUUGUUGGGAAAAGNGGAUGGUACCCAACAAGGAAGUGACGGCUAACUACGUGCCACAGCCGCGGUAAUCUGAGCGGGCUGGCAAGGC